UAGGGAAUCUUCCGCAAUGGACGAAAGUCUGACGGAGCAACGCCGCGUGAGUGAAGAAGGAUUUCGGUUCGUAAAACUCUGUUGUUAGGGAAGAAAAAAUGUAUAGUAACUAUAUACAAAAGAGACGGUACCUAACCAGAAAGCCACGGCUAACUCCGUGCCAGCAGCCGCGGUAAUACGUAGGUGGCAAGCGUUGUCCGGAAUUAUUGGGCGUAAAGCGCGCGCAGGUGGUUUAGAAAGUCUGAUGUGAAAGCCCACGGCUCAACCGUGGAGGGUCAUUGGAAACUAAUAAACUUGAGUGCAGGAGAGAAAAGUGGAAUUCCUAGUGUAGCGGUGAAAUGCGUAGAGAUUAGGAGGAACACCGGUGGCGAAAGCGGCUUUUUGGCCUGCAACUGACACUGAGGCGCGAAAGCGUGGGGAGCAAACAGG
rnacentral:rRNA from 1 species